rnacentral:misc_RNA from 1 species
GAUGAAGAACGCAGCGAAAUGCGAUAAGUAAUGUGAAUUGCAGAAUUCAGUGAAUCAUCGAGUCUUUGAACGCACAUUGCGCCCCCUGGUAUUCCGGGGGGCAUGCCUGUCCGAGCGUCAUUGCUGCCCUCAAGCACGGCUUGUGUGUUGGGCCGCCGUCCCCGGUUUCCCCCGGGGACGGGCCCGAAAGGCAGCGGCGGCACCGCGUCCGAUCCUCGAGCGUAUGGGGCUUUGUCACCCGCUCUGUAGGCCCGGCCGGCGCCAGCCGACACCCAACUUUAUUUCUAAGGUUGACCUCGGAUCAGGUAGGGAUACCCGCUGAACUUAAGCAUAUCAUAAGCGGAGGA